rnacentral:rRNA from 1 species
UACGUAGGGCGCAAGCGUUGUCCGGAAUUAUUGGGCGUAAAGAGCUCGUAGGCGGCUUGUCACGUCGGGUGUGAAAGCCCGGGGCUUAACCCCGGGUCUGCAUUCGAUACGGGCAGGCUAGAGUGUGGUAGGGGAGAUCGGAAUUCCUGGUGUAGCGGUGAAAUGCGCAGAUAUCAGGAGGAACACCGGUGGCGAAGGCGGGUCUCUGGGCCGAUACUGACGCUGAGGAGCGAAAGCGUGGGGAGCGAACAGG